rnacentral:rRNA from 1 species
GAUGAACGCUGACCGAAUGCUUAACACAUGCAAGUCUACUUGAACUUCGGUUUGGGUGGCGGACGGGUGAGUAACGCGUAAAGAACUUGCCUCACAGAUAGGGACAACAUUUGGAAACGAAUGCUAAUACCUGAUAUUAUGAUUUUAGGGCAUCCUAGAAUUAUGAAAGCUAUAUGCACUGUGAGAGAGCUUUGCGUCCCAUUAGCUAGUUGGAGAGGUAACGGCUCACCAAGGCGAUGAUGGGUAGCCGGCCUGAGAGGGUGAUCGGCCACAAGGGGACUGAGGCACGGCCCUUACUCCUACGGGAGGCAGCAGUGGGGAAUAUUGGACAAUGGACCAAGAGUCUGAUCCAGCAAUUCUGUGUGCACGAUGAAGUUUUUCGGAAUGUAAAGUGCUUUCAGUUGGGAAGAAAAAAAUGACGGUACCAACAGAAGAAGUGACGGCUAAAUACGUG